rnacentral:lncRNA from 1 species
GUAUUUUUCUUUUGUUUGUCAGUUUUUCCCUUUAAUUUCCUUUCUUUUUUUGUACUUUAAGCUUGAUUGUAGAUGUUCCAAUUGCUGACUUUCAAUUGUACAUUAGUAUUAGAGAAAUUAAAGAUUGGCUCAAAAGGAGAGCUCAACUAUGGUGAAAACAGAGAUGAAAAAAGGAAAUGAAAAUUUGGAGAGAAAAAUUUAAUUACUUCACAUGAAUCUCAUUUUCAAAAAUUUGAAACUUUCUGUAUUUUUUUUUUAUGUCUUUCAAGUUUCAAGAGUUUGUGAAAUUUCACGCUUUACUUUUUGGUUCAAAAAUUUGAACUUUCUGUAUUUUUUUUGUCUUUCAAGUUUCAAGAGUUUGUGAAAUUUCACGCUUUACUUUUUGUGAAUAUUGUUGUUUUACAAACGUAUGUCUAUGAUUCCUUUCAUACAACCUCUUUCUUUCUCUGGAAUGCACACGUUCCUGACGAAGCAAGAAAAUUCAAUAAGAUCGUUCAUUUUAAAUACCCUUUGUCAGCAAUUAACUGUUCUUAUGUUUAGAUAAUUAUUUACGCUAUUUUUGCUGGAGUUACUAAUGUUCUUCUGUUUUUGUUUUUGUUUUUCCUUUCUUUCACUGAGUCGAGGGUCGAUUGGAAACAACCUCUCUGCCCUUUCGGGUAGGGGUAAGACCUGUUUACAUAAUACCCUUCCCAGACCCCACUUUAUGGGACUACACUGGAUAGUUGUUGUUGUUUGUCAGCAAUUGGCUAUAUAAAAGUGUUUAAAGUCUAAUUUUAAUUAAUAACAAAUAAUACUUCUGCCUCCUUGGGCCCGGGAAUUAUUUGUUUUUGGCUAAGGGACAGUUAGAGUAAUUUUAUUUUAUUAUAAGUUAAAAGCUGCAGCAGAUUCCUGUUAAUUAAAGUGUAAAAACUACUUUCACUAAGGUGUACAUCAAUUAAAUUAAAUAUAUUAACCUAAUCAUAAAUUGGAACAUUGAUUUAUCAUGUGGAGUAAUAUGCAUGAUUCUUCAUGAUCUUGUUUCGCAAUUAUUCGGACGUACAGAUUUAUGCAACUGAAUUUAAUCCAGAACUAACCUAUUAUAUGAGGAAUCUUUUGUUUUUGUAUAUAACAAAUCUUUGUCUAAUGAACAAAAACAGCUGUAAAUUCAGUCUCGCUGCUUUUAGAAACUCUAAUAUCUGGUAUUGUCAACAAUGUACGAGACAAUAAUAUUUUCUCUAUCUAACUAUAUAUCCUUCUUUGAAUUCCAUUUAUCAUAUCCUUUUCCGACCAACAAAAUUUCUUUAAGAAAAAGAAAAAGAAAAAGAUUUUUUUAGUUAGUUAGAGUAACAAUGAACCUAACCGUACAUAUCUGGUUGCUGUUGCAUGGAGAUUUUCGUAGUAUACAUUAGUUGCAUUUUAUUAGUUAAAGCUAAAGAAGUAAUUAAUUACUCCCUUCGUCUCA